UAGGGAAUCUUCGGCAAUGGACGGAAGUCUGACCGAGCAACGCCGCGUGAGUGAAGAAGGUUUUCGGAUCGUAAAGCUCUGUUGUAAGAGAAGAACGAGUGUGAGAGUGGAAAGUUCACACUGUGACGGUAUCUUACCAGAAAGGGACGGCUAACUACGUGCCAGCAGCCGCGGUAAUACGUAGGUCCCGAGCGUUGUCCGGAUUUAUUGGGCGUAAAGCGAGCGCAGGCGGUUAGAUAAGUCUGAAGUUAAAGGCUGUGGCUUAACCAUAGUAGGCUUUGGAAACUGUUUAACUUGAGUGCAAGAGGGGAGAGUGGAAUUCCAUGUGUAGCGGUGAAAUGCGUAGAUAUAUGGAGGAACACCGGUGGCGAAAGCGGCUCUCUGGCUUGUAACUGACGCUGAGGCUCGAAAGCGUGGGGAGCAAACAGGAUUAGGUAUCCUGGUAGUCCACGCUGUAAACGAUGAGUGCUAGGUGUUAGACCCUUUCCGGGGUUUAGUGCGGGUAGCUAACGCAUUAAGCACUCCGCCUGGGGAGUACGACCGCAAGGUUG
rnacentral:rRNA from 1 species